CAGAAUCUUCAAGUAUAAUUGGGAAAAGUACAUGAAUCAUUAAACAUGAAAUUUGCUGUGUGUAAAGGCAUUGUAACAAAAUGAUGGAUAUAAGAUAAUCAUAAUCUAGAAUCUUCUGAAAAAGUCUGGUAAUUAUGUUUCAUGGAUGUAAGUAUCUUUCUACUCUUUCUCUUUUCUUUGUUGUAAUCUAGUUGUGGGCUGUAUGAUGGCAAGAAACGUAAAUUCACUCCCGGAAGUGGAGAGAGGGGCAAGUUAUGGUAAGGAUACAACGGGUAAACUCAGUCAUCCGAGAAUGAGAAAGAAAAGUCAAGCAGGCCGCAGUCGAGCUGCAAGUAGAAAUGCAAAAGAGCUAAUUCUGCUGUCUGAGAAUUAUCUGCGUCUUGCUAGCAUGAAAAGAUAUUUUGGAGAAGCAUUAGAGCAGACAGAGUUAGAAGAAAACCUCUGCUGACAGAUUGUGCUCAGAUCCUGGCUCUGCCAAGCUGCAUGACCCUGGACCAGUCAACAAUCGCUUUGGAGAGGAGAAACAAUUACUUUGUAAACUGAAGCAGCGCACUUAAUGAAGGAAGCAGAGAAGCUGCUGUGGAGGCUUUUUGCUAUCUAAUGUGCUCACGCGGUGCCCCAGUUUCUGCAUCAGUAAAUUAAGAUGAUAAUAACCCCUAGGGUUGUGCAGAAGAUUAGAUGAGUUAAUAUACAGAAAGCAUUUAAACAGUGCCUGGCGCAUCGUAAGCGCAAUGUAUAAUGGUUUGUUUUCAUCACUACUUUGAUCAUUUAUUUUAAAAUAAAAUGUGCAAUACAUUUUGUAUAGUAAGAAAG
rnacentral:lncRNA from 1 species